CCCAGACUCCUACGGGAGGCAGCAGUGGGGAAUAUUGCACAAUGGGGGAAACCCUGAUGCAGCGACGCCGCGUGAGUGAAGAAGUAUUUCGGUAUGUAAAGCUCUAUCAGCAGGGAAGAAAAUGACGGUACCUGAUUAAGAAGCCCCGGCUAACUACGUGCCAGCAGCCGCGGUAAUACGUAGGGGGCAAGCGUUAUCCGGAUUUACUGGGUGUAAAGGGAGCGUAGACGGUGAUGCAAGUCAGAAGUGAAAGCCCGGGGCUCAACUCCGGGACUGCUUUUGAAACUGUGUGACUGGAGUGCAGGAGAGGUAAGCGGAAUUCCUGGUGUAGCGGUGAAAUGCGUAGAUAUCAGGAGGAACACCAGUGGCGAAGGCGGCUUACUGGACUGUAACUGACGUUGAGGCUCGAAAGCGUGGGGAGCAAACAGGAUUAGAUACCCCAGUAU
rnacentral:rRNA from 1 species